CUGAGAGGAUGAACGGCCACAUUGGGACUGAGACACGGCCCAGACUCCUACGGGAGGCAGCAGUGGGGAAUCUUCCGCAAUGGGCGAAAGCCUGACGGAGCAACGCCGCGUGAACGAAGAAGGUCUUAGGAUCGUAAAGUUCUGUUGUUAGGGACGAAGGGUAAGAAUCAUAAUAAGGUUUUUAUUUGACGGUACCUAACGAGGAAGCCACGGCUAACUACGUGCCAGCAGCCGCGGUAAUACGUAGGCGGCAAGCGUUGUCCGGAAUUAUUGGGCGUAAAGGGAGCGCAGGCGGGAAACUAAGCGGAUCUUAAAAGUGCGGGGCUCAACCCCGUGAUGGGGUCCGAACUGGUUUUCUUGAGUGCAGGAGAGGAAAGCGGAAUUCCCAGUGUAGCGGUGAAAUGCGUAGAUAUUGGGAAGAACACCAGUGGCGAAGGCGGCUUUCUGGACUGUAACUGACGCUGAGGCUCGAAAGCUAGGGUAGCGAACGGGAUUAGAUACCCCGGUAGUCCUAGCCGUAAACGAUGGAUACUAGGUGUGGGAGGUAUCGACCCCUUCCGUGCCGGAGUUAACGCAAUAAGUAUCCCGCCUGGGGAGUACGGCCGCAAGGUUGCAACUCAAAUGAAUUGACGG
rnacentral:rRNA from 1 species